rnacentral:rRNA from 1 species
UACGUAGGUGGCAAGCGUUGUCCGGAAUUACUGGGUGUAAAGGGAGCGCAGGCGGGGAGCCAAGUCAGCUGUGAAAACUACGGGCUUAACCUGUAGACUGCAGUUGAAACUGGUUUUCUUGAGUGAAGUAGAGGUUGGCGGAAUUCCGAGUGUAGCGGUGAAAUGCGUAGAUAUUCGGAGGAACACCGGUGGCGAAGGCGGCCAACUGGGCUUUAACUGACGCUGAGGCUCGAAAGUGUGGGGAGCAAACAGG